GGACAGAUGGCCGAGCGGUCUAAGGCGCCAGACUAAGGAGACCAGGCUAUUGGAUGGCCUACACUCAUCUGGUCUCUCUGAGGCGUGAGUUCGAAUCUCACUCUGUUCA